CUUCUUCUUCACCACUAAUCUCGUUCUUCCUCCUCCUCGUCGUUCCAUCUUCAUCCUUCUUCAGAUAAAAUGGGUGCAGGACAAUGUUGAAUACCAUAGAAUCAGAGCAUUUGACAGCUUAAGUUUCUCGAGCAUGAAUUCAUUGCUGAUUACUACUAAACCAUCGACAGUUUGUCAAAUAUUAUGAAAGCUCAGGUAAUUUUAAUAUUC